AUUUUGCAUGUCUGGGUUUUCCCAUGUUUGUCUUUCUUCUGUUUAACAAAAUAUGUUUGGAGCUUUAUGUUCAAGUUGAUUGUGGUCUGUUUUAUCAGUUCUGCGGUUAUUCUUGUGGUUGCAGGUUAUCUUUUCUGCAAGGUUUUUAUGUUCGUUCUAGUUGUAGAGAGUAACCAUUUUCAGUUUGGUCCAUGUUUCCUCUUUGUAGGAAAACUUAUUUUUUCAAUAUUGGAUGAUUCCAACUUCAUUUCUGGUGGUUCAACUAAGCUUUCAAGGUCUGAUAUUGUAGAAAUAUAAUUUAAUUUUUUUUUAUUGUCAGUAAAUUGGAUGGGGAUGAUAUCUUCCUCAAGCUUAUUCUUAAUUCAAGUGUUCUCGAUUGAAUUUUGGUUUGUGAUUUUUGUUUUUUUUGUACUUUGUCUUGAAGAUUAAUCUUUGUGAUUUCUCAGUAGUAGUUUGGUCAUAGUUUUAGUUUGUUUUUCCAUGUUUGGGACCUUGUUUCUCCAAUUUUUGGAGGUUUGUUUUCGGUGGUUUAAAAUUUGCUGGUUUUAAAUUUAGGAAAAUUGUUUUUUUAGAGCAAAAAAAUGAUAAAUAUGUCUCUUUAGACUAAUCUCAUAUACUUUAUGUUCCAUUAGGCUAAUUAUUUUCAAAAUGGCAAUAAUGCCCUUAAAAUUGUAAUUCUUUUGUUUUUUCGUUUUUUUUUGUUUUUUUAUAAAAAAAU
rnacentral:lncRNA from 1 species